AACAACCCUUUUCCGCCAAUGUCUGCAAGAGGCUGACUUAAUAUCUUAUCACCUGUCGUCUUUAUUAUUACAAUUUGAAUGGCUCCCUCUUCAGCAAGGUCAGGAUAUGAGGCUAUUAGCUUCUCACGAGUCUCAUAAGCUUGGGCAAGAGCUAGGGGGCUGUCCUACACAAGUGCGUACAUCUGCUGCAGUUAAAGAAAUGAAUACAUCCCUCACAUCUUCACGUGGAAGGUUGCACGGUAAAAUUGUCUUCUCUGGCAGAUAUGUGGGCACAUCUUUCAUUGAGUGGACAGCAAUAUCAAUUUCCCCAUUGAUGAGAGCUUCAUCUAUUUCUUUUGUGAACAACCCUUUUCCGCCAAUGUCUGCAAGAGGCUGACUUAAUAUCUUAUCACCUGUCGUCUUUAUUAUUACAAUUUGAAUGGCUCCCUCUUCAGCAAGGUCAGGAUAUGAGGCUAUUAGCUUCUCACGAGUCUCAUAAGCUUGGGCAAGAGCUAGGGGGCUGUCCUACACAAGUAGGUACAUAAUCCAUAAGAGAAGAGUUUUACCAAUAACACAUCAGAGAUAUAGCAGUUCAUUUUUAUCCUCCUACCUCCCAGCCACACACAGAAAGCAGGGAAAAGAACAAAGUGUUAAUCCGAUGCAAUGCUGAGACUUAAACAGUACUCUUCAGCUCUUAAACAUUCUGUGGUUGUUUUCACAUAUGUUAAGGGAUCAAGUAAGAGUACUCUUAAACAUUCUGUGGUUGUUUUCACAUAUGUUCAGGGAUCAAGUAGAAAAGCACGAGAGAUUUUAGUCCAUCAGACAAAGAAAAAGAUUGGCAAAAGGGUAGGAUCUACUAGCAUUACUCAUAUUCUAAUAGGC
rnacentral:lncRNA from 1 species